rnacentral:tRNA from 1 species
GGGAGAUGGCUCAGUGGUUAAGAGCACUCCCUGGCUGCUCUCCCAGAGGACCUGGGUUCAAUUCCCAGCACCCA